CGCCGCCGCGGUCUCCCUCUCCCGGGCGCCCGCCGAGGCUCUACUACGCCGUGGACGCGCUGCUCCGGUCGGGGCACGAGGACGUGUACGCCGCCGUCGAGCGGCCGCUCCAGCUCGCGCAGACCGCCGCCGUCCUCGAGAUCCUCCACGGGCUCGUCGGGCUGGUGAGGUCGCCGGUGUCGGCCACGCUGCCGCAGAUCAGGUCGCGCCUCUUCGUCACCUGGGGCAUCCUCUGGAGCUUCCCCGAGACCAGGACACACAUCCUGGUGAGCUCCUUGGUCAUCAACUGGUCCAUCACCGAGGUAUGUAUGUA